rnacentral:rRNA from 1 species
AUGAACGCUGGCGGCGUGCCUCAUACCUGCAAGUCGCGCGCACAGACGAGGAGCUUGCUCCUCUGACGUUAGCGGCGGACGGGUGAGUAACACGUGGAUAACCUACCUAUAAGACUGGGAUAACUUCGGGAAACCGGAGCUAAUACCGGAUAAUAUAUUGAACCGCAUGGUUCAAUAGUGAAAGACGGUUUUGCUGUCACUUAUAGAUGGAUCCGCGCCGCAUUAGCUAGUUGGUAAGGUAACGGCUUACCAAGGCAACGAUGCGUAGCCGACCUGAGAGGGUGAUCGGCCACACUGGAACUGAGACACGGUCCAGACUCCUACGGGAGGCAGCAGUAGGGAAUCUUCCGCAAUGGGCGAAAGCUUGACGGAGCAACGCCGCGUGAGUGAUGAAGGUCUUCGGAUCGUAAAACUCUGUUAUUAGGGAAGAACAAAUGUGUAAGUAACUAUGCACGUCUUGACGGUACCUAAUCAGAAAGCCACGGCUAACUACGUG